UACGUAGGAGGCGAGCGUUGUCCGGAAUUACUGGGCGUAAAGAGCGCGUAGGCGGCGCUGUACGACCGCUGUGAAAGCCCCCGGCUCAACUGGGGAGGGUCAGCGGUAACGGCAGUGCUACGAGUGCAGGAGAGGGAAGUGGAACUCCGGGAGUAGCGGUGAAAUGCGUAGAUACCCGGAGGAACACCAGUGGCGAAGGCGGC
rnacentral:rRNA from 1 species